GUGUUUUACCAAUUUUUCCUAACUUAAAAUUUUAUUUGUGUUAAGAAAAUGUCGAGACAACAACAAAACCAAGCUACGAUCAUCAGAGAUUUGCUAAGGGUGGUACAAGAUUUGGGUAGGCAACAAGCACAGGGUGGUCCCCAUGGUACAAAUGCUAACAACACUAGCUCAAUUGUGGAAUAGUUUUGUCGCUACAAACCCCCAACAUUCGAUGGCAAGACAUACGCACUAGCAGCUGAAGAAUGGAUAAGAGGAAUGGAGCGAAUCUUCAAACAUCUAUCUUGCACUGAUGCUCAAAAGUUGUUAUGUGCAGAAUUUAUGUUGGUUGACGCGGCAGGCCAUUGGUGGGAGUCAGCAUCUUGUACUAGAACAGAAGCACAACAACGUGCUCUGACUUGGACGCAAUUUAAGGAGGAGAUGAUGGGAAAAUACUUCCCACAAGCCCUGAGGGAUCGUAAAGAGACAUAAUUCCUUCAACUCAAACAGGGAAAGAUAAAACUUGAAGAUUAUGAGAGAAAGUUCAAGCAACUCUCUAGGUAUGCACCACACCUAGUAGACACAGAGGUAAAAAAAGCAAGGAGGUUCGAAUUGGGAUUGCGCCCUGAGAUUGGUGGAAUAAUGGCAUCACACCAAUUCACUAUCUAUAGCCAAGUAUUGCAAACUACCCAGGCAAUCUCAAAUAGAUUAGAGAUUGACCAAACUUCCCAGCAAGGAGCCGAGUCUUCAGGAAAGCGGAAAUGGAAUGGGUCCAAUGAAGAAAAAGGAGGACAGAACAAGAAAGUCAACAUUGGAUCAAAUUUUGGACGAGUCAUUUCACCCUGUUCAAAGUGCAACAGGAUGCAUGGUGGGGAAUGUUUGUUCGGGAAACAUGUGUGCUAUCGAUGUGGCAAAACGGAUCACAUUUCCAAAAAUUGCAAAGAAGAUCCCUUAAAGAAGAAUGAUGAACCAGAAAAGAAGGGAAAUGCCCGAGUUUUUGCUUUAGCCCAGGAACGAACAACAAAGGAC
rnacentral:lncRNA from 1 species